GUGCUCACUUUCACAGCACAUAGACUAAAACUGGAACAAAUAUAGAGAAGAUGAGCAUGGCUCCAGACCAAGGAUGACAUGCAAAUUCACAAAGUGUUACAUAUAUUU
ensembl:snRNA U6 U6 spliceosomal RNA